CAGAAGGCUUCAAUCAGUGCAUCAUCCAGUCAGAAUUUAGAUUUGAUUAUCAUUCAAUUAUAAAUGAUCUAACAUCAACAAAUUUUCUACCGCCAAGUAGCCUGAUAUAGUUAAUUAGUCAGAAUAUAGAGUGAUAUGGUUGCCAAGCAAAGUGGCGCAUUAAUACACUGAAGUGCGGUCACAGGUGUGAGAACAAAAAUUGGCUCAUCCAAUCAGAUUUGAGUGCCGGAACUAUAUUUUUUAUAAGGACUAUUUUUUUUUUUUUAUGGUGUAAAAAUGGACUGAAAUAAUUCCCUUGCACUACUUUCAACAGUCGUUUUUAUAUAAAAAUUACAAUAUAGUGUAAUAGAACAAGUGUGUGUGUGUGCGUGUGUAAUAAGUGUUGUUCCCGCCCACACACACACACACACAUACACACACACACACACACACACACACACAGCAGUCGGUGAUUUUGCGCGAAUCAAACCCGGUUCAGAUUCUGUGAACAAACACGCGUGUACUGGAGCUUGGUUCGCGGAGUGAUUCUUUUGGAAAGCUCGUCGGUUUUGCGGAUGAGAUGUUUGUGUCCGUGGCUUUGCUGAUUUUAAUUCAGAAUGUGGUCAGCUCGUCUUAUCAGACUGGACACAGUGUUUUCAUGUGCGUCGUUGAUUCCCGUCAGCACACAAUGCCUCUCUCCAUCCCUCCUGAAACACAGACAGAGGAAAAGGUGAUAAGACGUCAGGUACAAGGUCGAGCUCGCCGAUAAGAUGCAGCUAGAAAUCUCUGCUGACCAGAAAUACAGACCCUGCCAUUAUUCCCUCUCACUCAUAUCCUUCCAAACCCGUGUGACUUUGUUUCUUCAGUGAGACACAAAAGACGAGACGGUGAGCAGUGAGACGCUAGCAGCUUGUGAGGUUUGAUAAGAUGAUGAUGUAUAGUCCUGACACCAACCAUCUCGUUUCAUACUCCACAACUGGAAUAAUACAGAUGUGGAGGAACAUCAGCAUUCCUUCUGUGUGAUUUAAUGGAUGUUUAAACCGAGACAUGAGCAUUAAAACACGCGUGUGCUGACAGAAGCCUUCCAGACACACCACUGCUGUUAAUGUACACUAAAAAAACAGAUGUCAUUUCAUUGAAAUAAAUAUAAAAAAUUACAAAUGUUGCUUUGGAAU
ensembl:lncRNA